rnacentral:rRNA from 1 species
UACAGAGGAUGCAAGCGUUAUCCGGAAUGAUUGGGCGUAAAGCGUCUGCAGGUGGCUUUUCAAGUCCGCCGUCAAAUCCCAGGGCUCAACUCUGGACAGGCGGUGGAAACUACCAAGCUGGAGUACGGUAGGGGCAGAGGGAAUUUCCGGUGGAGCGGUGAAAUGCGUAGAGAUCGGAAAGAACACCAGCGGCGAAAGCGCUCUGCUGGGCCGACACUGACACUGAGAGACGAAAGCUAGGGGAGCGAAUGGG